UACGGAGGAUCCAAGCGUUAUCCGGAAUCAUUGGGUUUAAAGGGUCCGUAGGCGGUCUUAUAAGUCAGUGGUGAAUCUCCCCGCUCAACGGGGAAACGGCCAUUGAUACUGUAGGACUUGAAUUAUUAGGAAGUAACUAGAAUAUGUAGUGUAGCGGUGAAAUGCUUAGAGAUUACAUGAAUACCAAUUGCGAAGGCAGGUUACUACUUAAUGGAUUGACGCUGAUGGACGAAAGCGUGGGUAGCGAACAGGAUUAGAUACCCCA
rnacentral:rRNA from 1 species